AGUGAACGCUGGCGGUAGGCCUAACACAUGCAAGUCGAACGGCAGCACAGUAAGAGCUUGCUCUUACGGGUGGCGAGUGGCGGACGGGUGAGGAAUACAUCGGAAUCUACUUUUUCGUGGGGGAUAACGUAGGGAAACUUACGCUAAUACCGCAUACGACCUACGGGUGAAAGCAGGGGAUCUUCGGACCUUGCGCGAUUGAAUGAGCCGAUGUCGGAUUAGCUAGUUGGCGGGGUAAAGGCCCACCAAGGCGACGAUCCGUAGCUGGUCUGAGAGGAUGAUCAGCCACACUGGAACUGAGACACGGUCCAGACUCCUAAGGGAGGCAGCAGUGGGGAAUAUUGGACAAUGGGCGCAAGCCUGAUCCAGCCAUACCGCGUGGGUGAAGAAGGACUUCGGGUUGUAAAGCCCUUUUGUUGGGAAAGAAAAGCAGCAGGUUAAUACCCCGCUGUUAUGACGGUACCCAAAGAAUAAGCACCGGCUAACUUCGUG
rnacentral:rRNA from 1 species